rnacentral:rRNA from 1 species
UACGAAGGGGGCUAGCGUUGUUCGGAAUUACUGGGCGUAAAGCGCACGUAGGCGGACAUUUUAAGUCAGGGGUGAAAUCCCAGAGCUCAACUCUGGAACUGCCUUUGAUACUGGGUGUCUUGAGUAUGGAAGAGGUGAGUGGAAUUCCGAGUGUAGAGGUGAAAUUCGUAGAUAUUCGGAGGAACACCAGUGGCGAAGGCGGCUCACUGGACUGGUAUUGACGCUGAGGUGCGAAAGCGUGGGGAGCAAACAGGG